rnacentral:rRNA from 1 species
AGAGUUUGAUCCUGGCUCAGAAUCAACGCUGGCGGCGCGCUUAACACAUGCAAGUCGCACGAGAAAGUGGAGCAAUCCAUGAGUAAAGUGGCGUACGGGUGAGUAACACGUGGAUCAUCUACCUCUUGGUGGGGAAUAACGCUGGGAAACCGGCGCUAAUACCGCAUAAGCCUGAAAAGGGAAAGCAGCAAUGCGCCGAGAGAGGAGUCCGCGGCCGAUUAGCUAGUUGGUAGGGUAAUGGCCUACCAAGGCAAUGAUCGGUAGCCGGCCUGAGAGGGCACACGGCCACACUGGCACUGAAACACGGGCCAGACUCCUACGGGAGGCAGCAGUGGGGAAUCUUGCACAAUGGGGGCAACCCUGAUGCAGCGACGCCGCGUGAGUGAUGAAGCCCUUCGGGGUGUAAAGCUCUUUCGGCAGGAACGAUAAUGACGGUACCUGAAGAAGAAGCUGCGGCUAACUACGUGCCAGCAGCCGCGGUAAUACGUAGGCAGCAAGCGUUGUUCGGAAUUACUGGGCGUAAAGAGUGCGUAGGCGGUUAACUAAGUUUGGUGUGAAAUCUCCCGGCUUAACUGGGAGGGUGCGCCGAAAACUGGCUAGCUAGAGUGUGGGAGAGGAUAGUGGAAUUCCUGGUGUAGCGGUGAAAUGCGUAGAUAUCAGGAGGAACACCUGCGGUGUAGACGGCUAUCUGGACCAUGACUGACGCUGAGGCACGAAAGCGUGGGUAGCAAACAGGAUUAGAUACCCUAGUAGUCC